UGGGGAAUAUUGCACAAUGGGGGGAACCCUGAUGCAGCGACGCCGCGUGAAGGAAGAAGUAUCUCGGUAUGUAAACUUCUAUCAGCAGGGAAGAAAACAGACGGUACCUGACUAAGAAGCCCCGGCUAACUACGUGCCAGCAGCCGCGGUAAUACGUAGGGGGCAAGCGUUAUCCGGAUUUACUGGGUGUAAAGGGGGCGCAGACGGCCAUGGCAAGCCCGGUGUGAAAGGCAGGGGCAUAACCCCUGGACUGCACUGGGAACUGGCAGGCUGGAGUGCCGGAGGGGUAAGCGGAAUUCCUGGUGUAGCGGUGAAAUGCGUAGAUAUCAGGAGGAACACCGGCGGCGAAGGCGGCUUACUGGACGGCAACUGACGUUGAGGCCCGAAAGCGUGGGGAGCGAACAGG
rnacentral:rRNA from 1 species